AUUGAACGCUGGCGGCAGGCCUAACACAUGCAAGUCGAACGAGUGGCGGACGGGUGAGUAAUGUCUGGGAAACUGCCUGAUGGAGGGGGAUAACUACUGGAAACGGUAGCUAAUACCGCAUACCAUCAGAUGUGCCCAGAUGGGAUUAGCUAGUGGGUGGGGUAACGGCUAACCAGGGCGACGAUCCCUAGCUGGUCUGAGAGGUUGACCAGCCACACUGGAACUGUGACACGGUCCAGACUCCUACGGGAGGCAGCAGUGGGGAAGAUUGGACAAGGGGCGCACGCCUGAUGCAGCCAUGCCGCGUGUAUGAAGAGGGCCUUCGGGUUGUAAAGUACUUUCAGCGGGGAGGCGUUACCCGCAGAAGAAGCACCGGCUAACUCCGUGCCAGCAGCCGCGGUAAUUC
rnacentral:rRNA from 1 species